UGCGUAGGCGGAUUAAUAAGUCAGUGGUGAAAUCUUUCGGCUCAACCGAGAAACUGCCAUUGAUACUGUUAAUCUUGAGUUCGGUUGAGGUAGGCGGAAUGUGUAAUGUAGCGGUGAAAUGCUUAGAUAUUACACAGAACACCAAUUGCGUAGGCAGCUUACUAGACCGACACUGACGCUGAGGCACGAAAGCGUGGGGAGCAAACAGGAUUAGAUACCCUGGUAGUCC
rnacentral:rRNA from 1 species